rnacentral:lncRNA from 1 species
UUGUUCUGUAUUUUUUUUCAACGUAUUAGCUGUCCAAGGGAAAAAGAUAGAAGCAGAGCCAUGAUAAGCAAAUGACAAAAUUUAAAAAUAUAUAUUUAUAGUAACAAGGUCUAAAUUGGGAGAAUAUCUGGUUUUACAAAAUGAAUACAAGGGACUCUAGAAAAAUAAUGAAAAACAUUCAACAAUAACGGUCAGCUGAUGUAAUUGAAAAUAUAUUAUACACAGGAUGUGAAAUCUUCAUGUAUGGACGAUCGGCUUUUUGUAUACACAGAUUUAGCAGUCUUUUCACUGCUGUAUUCUGAUUACAGAAGGAAACCAUUCAGUCCUUCACCA